rnacentral:rRNA from 1 species
GAUGAACGCUGGCGGCGUGCCUAAUACAUGCAAGUCGAGCGAACGGACGAGGAGCUUGCUUCUCUGAUGUUAGCGGCGGACGGGUGAGUAACACGUGGAUAACCUACCUAUAAGACUGGGAUAACUUCGGGAAACCGGAACUAAUACCGGAUGAUAUUUUGAACCGCAUGGUUCAAAAGUGAAAGACGGUCUUGCUGUCACUUAUAGAUGGAUCCGCGCUGCAUUAGCUAGUUGGUAAGGUAACGGCUUACCAAGGCAACGAUGCAUAGCCGACCUGAGAGGGUGAUCGGCCACACUGGAACUGAGACACGGUCCAGACUCCUACGGGAGGCAGCAGUAGGGAAUCUUCCGCAAUGGGCGAAAGCCUGACGGAGCAACGCCGCGUGAGUGAUGAAGGUCUUCGGACCGUAAAACUCUGUUAUUAGGGAAGAACAUAUGUGUAAGUAACUGUGCACAUCUUGACGGUACCUAAUCAGAAAGCCACGGCUAACUACGUG